CACGGGGGGAGCAAGCGUUGUUCGGAAUCACUGGGCGUAAAGGGCGUGUAGGCGGUCAGGUAAGUGAGAUGUGAAAUGCCCCGGCUCACCCGGGGACCGGCAUCUCAUACUGCUUGGCUUGAGUACGGGAGAGGAUGUGGGAAUUCCUGGUGUAGCGGUGAAAUGCGCAGAUAUCAGGAGGAACACCAAUGGCGAAGGCAGCUCGCUGGGACGUUACUGACACUGAGGCGCGAAAGCGUGGGGAGCGAACAGG
rnacentral:rRNA from 1 species